CCUACGGGAGGCAGCAGUGGGGAAUAUUGGACAAUGGGCGAAAGCCUGAUCCAGCCAUGCCGCGUGUGUGAAGAAGGCCUUCGGGUUGUAAAGCACUUUCAGUGGGGAAGAAAGCCUUGGGGCUAAUACCCUCGAGGAAGGACAUCACCCACAGAAGAAGCACCGGCUAACUCCGUGCCAGCAGCCGCGGUAAUACGGAGGGUGCGAGCGUUAAUCGGAAUUACUGGGCGUAAAGCGCGCGUAGGCGGUCUGAUAAGCCGGUUGUGAAAGCCCCGGGCUCAACCUGGGAACGGCAUCCGGAACUGUCAGGCUAGAGUGCAGGAGAGGAAGGUAGAAUUCCCGGUGUAGCGGUGAAAUGCGUAGAGAUCGGGAGGAAUACCAGUGGCGAAGGCGGCCUUCAGGACUGACACUGACGCUGAGGUGCGAAAGCGUGGGUAGCAAACAGGAUUAGAUACCCUUGUAGUC
rnacentral:rRNA from 1 species